rnacentral:misc_RNA from 1 species
GUUGGUUUAGAUCCAGUGUAGAUCCCUGAUUUACUAGUGCUUGGAAAUGAUUCAAGCUCUUGCUCCUCUGAAGGUCCAGCUGAUAUCUUUACUGGAUAAAGCAAUGAAAUUUGUGAUAUCAUAUACUGCUGCCUCAUUCUUAGCUUCUUCUGCAGGUUUCUGAGACGACCAUAACCCCUCUCUCCAGAAAGUGACCUCUUUGAUUCCUGAAGUUGCUUGCUAGCUACGGAAAGAGAAGAACCAGCAACCAACAGAGAUUUGACUCCCACACCAAGCCUCUCUUCUUCCUUUUUAGCAUCCUCAGCUGAAACCUUAGAACUCAACGAUAUGCUUUCC